CCUACGGGAGGCAGCAGUGAGGAAUAUUGGUCAAUGGACGCAAGUCUGAACCAGCCAUGCCGCGUGCAGGAAGACGGCUCUAUGAGUUGUAAACUGCUUUUGUACGAGGGUAAACGCAGAUACGCGUAUCUGUCUGAAAGUAUCGUACGAAUAAGGAUCGGCUAACUCCUUGCCAGCAGCCGCGGUAAUACGGAGGAUUCAAGCGUUAUCCGGAUUUAUUGGGGUUAAAGGGUGCGUAGGCGGUCGGAUAAGUUAGAGGUGAAAUCCCGAGGCUCAACUUCGGAAUUGCCUCUGAUACUGUCUGGCUAGAGAGUAGUUGCGGUAGGCGGAAUGUAUGGUGUAGCGGUGGAAUGCUUAGAGAUCAGACAGAACACCGAUUGCGAAGGCAGCUUACCAAGCUACUUCUGACGUUGAGGCACGAAAGCGUGGGGAGCAAACAGGAUUAGAUACCCGGGUAGUC
rnacentral:rRNA from 1 species